rnacentral:rRNA from 1 species
ACCCUUUAAUGUUUGAUGUUCUAACGUGGACCCGUGAUCCGGGUUGCGGACAGUGUCUGGUGGGUAGUUUGACUGGGGCGGUCUCCUCCUAAAGAGUAACGGAGGAGCACGAAGGUUGGCUAAUCCUGGUCGGACAUCAGGAGGUUAGUGCAAUGGCAUAAGCCAGCUUGACUGCGAGCGUGACGGCGCGAGCAGGUGCGAAAGCAGGUCAUAGUGAUCCGGUGGUUCUGAAUGGAAGGGCCAUCGCUCAACGGAUAAAAGGUACUCCGGGGAUAACAGGCUGAUACCGCCCAAGAGUUCAUAUCGACGGCGGUGUUUGGCACCUCGAUGUCGGCUCAUCACAUCCUGGGGCUGAAGUAGGUCCCAAGGGUAUGGCUGUUCGCCAUUUAAAGUGGUACGCGAGCUGGGUUUAGAACGUCGUGAGACAGUUCGGUCCCUAUCUGCCGUGGGCGCUGGAGAACUGAGGGGGGCUGCUCCUAGUACGAGAGGACCGGAGUGGACGCAUCACUGGUGUUCGG